rnacentral:rRNA from 1 species
GAUGAACGCUGGCGGCGUGCCUAAUACAUGCAAGUCGAGCGAAUGGAUUGAGAGCUUGCUCUUAUGAAGUUAGCGGCGGACGGGUGAGUAACACGUGGGUAACCUGCCCAUAAGACUGGGAUAACUCCGGGAAACCGGGGCUAAUACCGGAUAACAUUUUGAACCGCAUGGGUCGAAAUUGAAAGGCGGCUUCGGCUGUCACUGAUGGAUGGACCCGCGUCGCAUUAGCUAGUUGGUGAGGUAACGGCUCACCAAGGCAACGAUGCGUAGCCGACCUGAGAGGGUGAUCGGCCACACUGGGACUGAGACACGGCCCAGACUCCUACGGGAGGCAGCAGUAGGGAAUCUUCCGCAAUGGACGAAAGUCUGACGGAGCAACGCCGCGUGAGUGAUGAAGGCUUUCGGGUCGUAAAACUCUGUUGUUAGGGAAGAACAAGUGCUAGUUGAAUAAGCUGGCACCUUGACGGUACCUAACCAGAAAGCCACGGCUAACUACGUGCCAGCAGCCGCAGUAA